GUAUGAACAAUUCUGGUUGAAACAAAAGUGUCUCAAAGCAUGAAGAUUUCUAGCAACAUUUCAAAAAAACGACAUGGGAACGCAUAUGAAUGAUGAUGUGAAUGAAGAUUUUGUCAUCAAGGCAGAUGUGAAAAUGCAACAAAAUGACCCACCUUAAAACAAUGGAUUGUUCAUCUUGAAGGAUGCUGUGUUUUUCGAGGAAAUGUCUUGCUUUGCCAACUAAUGAUUCUUCACCCCAAUACUUCACCCAAUUCACAUGACAUUUAGACAGGAUACCAGGAAACUGGCUGCAAGGAACAAAAUGUUAACUUUUAAGGUUCAUUUCAAUCAAGGUGACAGAUGGUGGACAAUUUCCACGACAAAAAAGAUCCCUAAAACUUCAAAGAAAAACUACCAAGGAGAAUGAUGUGUUAAAACUUGAAGAAAUGAACAAUGAAACACCUGGCAAAACUUAAAUUUAAGGGCUGCAACAUUUGUCGAACUAAAAUUACAUUUUACACAGUAGCGACAAUUACAUUGCAGCUGGAAUCGUAUUGAUUACAUAAGAACUAGAAGUCAAACCUCUUUUCCUUCAUCGAGAAAACAUGAAGGACGACCAAUUUUGAUUGCAUCAACAAUAACUUGUACAUAAUGAAAAAUGACGGCAACCACAGCAGGAGACGCACGAUGAAACUCAUCUAAAAUACCCCAACAGCCUUCCUAUAUUAGUAGAAAAAAUUACGUCAUUUCACAAAAAAAUAUUUUGACUAAAGUAAGUCGCGACCUUAAAUUCACCAAGCAAUAAUUUCACAAACCUGAGCAAGACCUGUAAAGAUUUUACCAAGAUGAUCACAAUCCAUCUUUGGUGUACAACUUAAACUCACGAAGUAUCGUCCCAACAUAUGAGCGACACCCUAAAUUCAAAAUUUAAACUUUGGAACCAUUUUACGAACAGUAUUCUAGCAUGUAACAAACUUAGAAAACGUCAUCUACACACAAUACACAUUUCACACGAUAUAUACAACACCUCUAAAACUCCAACGACAAAAGCAACU